GGGCGGUUGGCGCAGUUGGGAGCGCGUCUGGCUUACAUUCAGAAGGUCAGAGGUUCAAAUCCUCUACCGCCCA
rnacentral:tRNA from 1 species